CCUACGGGAGGCAGCAGUGGGGAAUAUUGCACAAUGGGGGGAACCCUGAUGCAGCAACGCCGCGUGGGUGAAGAAGUACUUCGGUAUGUAAAGCCCUGUCAGCAGGGAAGAAAAUGACGGUACCUGACCAUGAAGCCCCGGCUAACUACGUGCCAGCAGCCGCGGUAAUACGUAGGGGGCAAGCGUUAUCCGGAUUUACUGGGUGUAAAGGGAGCGUAGACGGCAAGGCAAGUCUGGAGUGAAAGCCCGUGGCUCAACCACGGGACUGCUUUGGAAACUGUGUUGCUGGAGUGCAGGAGGGGUAAGCGGAAUUCCAAGUGUAGCGGUGAAAUGCGCAGAGAUUAGGAGGAACACCAGUGGCGAAGGCGGCUUACUGGACUGUAACUGACGUUGAGGCGCGAAGGCGUGGGGAGCAAACAGGAUUAGAUACCCCAGUAGUC
rnacentral:rRNA from 1 species